UGCUUACACAUGCAAGUCGAACGGUAAGGCCCUUUCGGGGGUACACGAGUGGCGAACGGGUGAGUAACACGUGGGUAAUCUGCCCUGCACUUCGGGAUAAGCCUGGGAAACCGGGUCUAAUACCGGAUAUGAGCUCCUGCCGCAUGGUGGGGGUUGGAAAGUUUUUCGGUGCAGGAUGAGUCCGCGGCCUAUCAGCUUGUUGGUGGGGUAAUGGCCUACCAAGGCGACGACGGGUAGCCGGCCUGAGAGGGUGAUCGGCCACACUGGGACUGAGACACGGCCCAGACUCCUACGGGAGGCAGCAGUGGGGAAUAUUGCACAAUGGGCGAAAGCCUGAUGCAGCGACGCCGCGUGGGGGAUGACGGUCUUCGGAUUGUAAACUCCUUUCAGUAGGGACGAAGCGAAAGUGACGGUACCUGCAGAAGAAGCACCGGCCAACUACGUGCCAGCAGCCGCGGUAAUACGUAGGGUGCAAGCGUUGUCCGGAAUUACUGGGCGUAAAGAGCUCGUAGGCGGUUUGUCACGUCGUCUGUGAAAUCCUCCAGCUCAACUGGGGGCGUGCAGGCGAUACGGGCAGACUUGAGUACUACAGGGGAGACUGGAAUUCCUGGUGUAGCGGUGAAAUGCGCAGAUAUCAGGAGGAACACCGGUGGCGAAGGCGGGUCUCUGGGUAGUAACUGACGCUGAGGAGCGAAAGCAUGGGGAGCAAACAGGAUUAGAUACCCUGGUAGUCCAUGCCGUAAACGGUGGGCGCUAGGUGUGGGGUCCUUCCACGGAUUCCGUGCCGUAGCUAACGCAU
rnacentral:rRNA from 1 species